rnacentral:rRNA from 1 species
GAUGAACGCUGGCGGCGUGCCUAAUACAUGCAAGUCGAGCGAACAGACGAGGAGCUUGCUCCUCUGACGUUAGCGGCGGACGGGUGAGUAACACGUGGAUAACCUACCUAUAAGACUGGGAUAACUUCGGGAAACCGGAGCUAAUACCGGAUAAUAUAUUGAACCGCAUGGUUCAAUAGUGAAAGACGGUUUUGCUGUCACUUAUAGAUGGAUCCGCGCCGCAUUAGCUAGUUGGUAAGGUAACGGCUUACCAAGGCAACGAUGCGUAGCCGACCUGAGAGGGUGAUCGGUCACACUGGAACUGAGACACGGUCCAGACUCCUACGGGAGGCAGCAGUAGGGAAUCUUCCGCAAUGGGCGAAAGCCCGACGGAGCAACGCCGCGUGAGUGAUGAAGGUCUUCGGAUCGUAAAACUCUGUUAUUAGGGAAGAACAAAUGUGUAAGUAACUAUGCACGUCUUGACGGUACCUAAUCAGAAAGCCACGGCUAACUACGUG